UACAGAGGGUGCAAGCGUUAAUCGGAAUUAUUGGGCGUAAAGCGCAUGUAGGUUGGUAUUUAAGUCGGAUGUGAAAGCCCCGGGCUCAACCUGGGAAAGCCAUUCGAUACUGAGUACCUAGAGUAUGGUAGAGGGAAGUGGAAUUUCCGGUGUAGCGGUGAAAUGCGUAGAUAUCGGAAAGAACACCAGUGGCGAAGGCGGCUUCCUGGAUCAAUACUGACACUAAAGUGCGAAAGCGUGGGGAGCAAACAGG
rnacentral:rRNA from 1 species